rnacentral:rRNA from 1 species
GACCCCAUGGAGCUUCAAACCCAACUACACCCCUAGCUCUUAUAGCCCCACAACCCCCCUAGGCACCGUGUGCUUGGUUUUAGGUUGGGGCGACCGCGGAGUACAAUAAAACCUCCACAAUGAAUGGGAACACCCCCUUAUCUGAGGGCCACACCCCCUAAGAAUUAGAACACUAACAUAAAAUGAUCCAUUACUUGAUCAAUGAACCAAGUUACCCUGGGGAUAACAGCGCAAUCCAUUUCAAGAGCCCCUAUCGACAAAUGGGUUUACGACCUCGAUGUUGGAUCAGGGUACCCCAGUGGUGCAGCAGCUACUAACGGUUCGUUUGUUCAACGAUUAAAACCCU